GUGCAUGCAAGCUACUGACCCGAGGAGAAGAAGACGGCGUAGGGGUUUGGCCAGUGCUGCUCCAUCUUGUAGGGCAACACACCCGGAACACUCCAGAAGUGCAGGCACACAGGCUUAGCCCACGGAGCCACAUCCUGCCCCCCGAACGUGGAAAUGUGGAACAGAGAAGCCCUGUCGGAGCACUGCGUGUUCCUCCAGCCUGCUGACUCAUGAUGUGCUAAGCUUGGUUAACCAAGAUACUCGUCAUACUGGUUUAGCUGAAACAACUCAUGGGAUCACUGGCCACAGCUGAAGCAGUACGCUAAGUCACAGAGUGGUGGACCGAUACCUGCUAAUGGACAUGGCCAAGAUGACAGGCUGCCACCCAGACCUCAGAACCUCACGGGUCUGGGGGCUGCGCCGGGCAAGGGCGACCCAAAUCGGGAUCAGAACCAGGAAGAACCCACAG